rnacentral:ribozyme from 1 species
UGUGGUAGGUAGCGGUCAACCCGAACUGCCUGGCAGAUAUGGUGGUGAUCUGGCGUGGACCACCUUUACACUGAUGG